GAUGAAGAACGUAGCGAAAUGCGAUACUUGGUGUGAAUUGCAGAAUCCCGUGAACCAUCGAGUCUUUGAACGCAAGUUGCGCCCGAAGCCGUCAGGCCGAGGGCACGCCUGCCUGGGCGUCACACGCCGUUGCCCCCCCCGCGCCCCGCACCCAACUCUUUGGGAGCGACCGCGGGGCGGGCUGAUGAUGGCCUCCCGUGCGCUCCGCCGCGCGGUUGGCCCAAAUACCGAGUCCCCGGCGACGUGCGCCACGACGAUCGGUGGUUGAGAGACCUCUGUCGCAAGUCGUGCGCGCCCGUCGCGUCACGCGGGCUCGCAUAGCGCCUCGCGCCGCACCCGGUGCGGAGCUUUCAACGCGACCCCAGGUCAGGCGGGGUUACCCGCUGAAUUUAAGCAUAUCAUAAGCGGAGGA
rnacentral:misc_RNA from 1 species